rfam:Myotis brandtii contig171117, whole genome shotgun sequence.
GCCUGUUUAGCUCAGUGGAUAGAGCAUCAGCCUGUGGACUGAAGGGUCCUGGGUUCGAUUCCAGUUACAGGCU